GGUAAGAUGGCCGAGUGGUUAAGGCGAGCGAUUUAAGUUGCAAAUCUCGCUUGACGAAAGUCGCGUGGGUUCGAACCCCACUCUUACCA